rnacentral:rRNA from 1 species
GACGGGGGGGGCAAGUGUUCUUCGGAAUGACUGGGCGUAGAGCGCACGUAGGCGGAUUUCUAAGUCAGGGGUGAAAUCCUGGAGCUCAACUCCAGAACUGCCUUUGAUACUGGGAAUCUCGAGUCCGGGAGAGGUGAGUGGAACUGCGAGUGUAGAGGUGAAAUUCGUAGAUAUUCGCAAGAACACCAGUGGCGAAGGCGGCUCACUGGCCCGGUACUGACGCUGAGGUGCGAAAGCGUGGGGAGCAAACAGG